GUGGGCUGGCGGGUAGGCACACUAUUUUGCUUUCCAUAUGCUAUAAUGCCCUUCCCUGCCUCCCUCGCUCUCUUGUCCGAGCCAGAGAACCCACAGAAAUCUCCAGUGCCUCUAGCUAUUCAAAAGCUAUAAAAUGGCAAAACCCAAACAACAAAAGUCCAGCAUACCCAUGAAGAAACCCCCAGUUCCGUUAUUUCUUUACUAUUGAUUCAGUCUGGAUUUCAAGGUCAAUCGGUUUUUCAGUUUUGCUUGUUAGGUUCGGUUUGGAACUGAACAGACUGAAUGCUCCUCCCUAGGUUUGCCCAAUGAGAAAGGAUUGAGGCAUCUGCAUGAGCUGUUGAGCUGCUGAUUUGACCCUGGACUGAAUGAAUGAUUAAGUUAAAUUAAUUUAUCUACUUGAGGUGAAAAAACAGGGAAAACAGGCUGAUAUCACUCAAUUCUGAGCUCAGCUUGAUGCAUUGAACCUAAAAGUUAUCCAAGUUACUGCUGAUGGUAUUGUUUCUUCAGUUCGCAGGGCCCAUGCAGAUCAGUUAGAAGAUAGUGAGAGUCAUUAAUAAUGUUGUUGACGUUUUCACCAUGUCCUUGUCCAAAGGACCUUUUGAAUUCCUUCCAUCUAAGCUUGGGUAGGUUUUACAAAAUACAUUUUAAGGGAGAGUAUUAAAUUAUUCUGAAGUGUAUUUUCCUUGUUAUCCUUUUAAGUAGUUUCCAAGUGGUUAUGUAAAUAAGAAAUAAGGAAGAUAUCAUUUUUUUUAUUGCAUCAUAUUUGAUUGUCUCAAUAAAAGGGGUGUUCAACAAAACCAAAUUUUUUCUA